rnacentral:rRNA from 1 species
GACGAACGCUGGCGGCGCGCCUAACACAUGCAAGUCGAACGGUGAACCGGGCUUCGGCCCGGGGAUCAGUGGCGAACGGGUGCGUAACACGUGGGCAACCUGCCCCCGACCCUGGGAUAACCCCGGGAAACCGGAGCUAAUACCGGAUACUCUCCUCCGACCGCCUGGUCGAGGGAGGAAAGGUCCGCCGGUCGGGGAUGGGCCCGCGGCCUAUCAGCUCGUUGGUGGGGUAACGGCCUACCAAGGCGACGACGGGUAGCUGGUCUGAGAGGACGACCAGCCACACUGGGACUGAGACACGGCCCAGACUCCUACGGGAGGCAGCAGUGGGGAAUCUUGCGCAAUGGGCGAAAGCCUGACGCAGCGACGCCGCGUGGGGGACGAAGGCCUUUCAGGUCGUAAACCCCUUUCGGCAGGGACGAAGCGAUCUCGUGACGGUACCUGCAGAAGAAGCCUCGGCUAACUACGUGCCAGCAGCCGCCGUAACAC